GGGAUAUAAAUCCAAACUCUUCUUCUUCUUCUUCUAGCGGGGGGGUGAUGUCCCCAAGCAGAGUUCCCUCGCAAGGAAAUCACACAGAGCUUUACAAGGGGGAUCAUUUGGGAGCUGCUGGGCAUCAUCAUUAAGAUCGGCCGGUUAUGGAGCCUCCUCUGGAGCUUUUGAAGGAGAUCUGGCGAGAUCUAUUUUUGUUACCUCCUCACAAGACUUUGUGUGGUUUCUGUUCUUCCUUGUAGUGGUGAUGCGUACCAAGGGGGCGGGGGGUAUAUUCAAUAAAGUAUGAAUUUAACACAA